UACGUAGGGGGCAAGCGUUGUCCGGAUUUAUUGGGCGUAAAGCGCUCGCAGGCGGUCCGAUGCGUCGUGCGUGAAAGACCCCGGCUCAACUGGGGAGGGUCGUGCGAUACGGGCGGACUGGAGGCCAGUAGGGGGAUGCGGAAUUCCGGGUGUAGUGGUGGAAUGCGUAGAGAUCCGGAGGAACACCAGCGGCGAAGGCGGCAUCCUGGACUGUUCGUGACACUCAGGAGCGAAAGCGUGGGGAGCGAUCCGG
rnacentral:rRNA from 1 species